rnacentral:rRNA from 1 species
AUUGAACGCUGGCGGCAGGCCUAACACAUGCAAGUCGAGCGGAUGAGAGGAGCUUGCUUCUCGAUUCAGCGGCGGACGGGUGAGUAAUGCCUAGGAAUCUGCCUGGUAGUGGGGGACAACGUUUCGAAAGGAACGCUAAUACCGCAUACGUCCUACGGGAGAAAGCAGGGGACCUUCGGGCCUUGCGCUAUCAGAUGAGCCUAGGUCGGAUUAGCUAGUUGGUGAGGUAAUGGCUCACCAAGGCGACGAUCCGUAACUGGUCUGAGAGGAUGAGCAGUCACACUGGAACAGAGACACGGUCCAGACUCCUCCGGGAGGCAGCAGUGGGGAAUAUUGGACAAUGGGCGAAAGCCUGAUCCAGCCAUGCCGCGUGUGUAAAGAAGGUCUUCGGAUUGUAAAGCACUUUAAGUUGGGAGGAAGGGUUGUAGAUUAAUACUCUGCAAUUUUGACGUUACCGACAGAAUAAGCACCGGCUAACUCUGUGCCAGCAGCCGCCGUAAAAC